rnacentral:rRNA from 1 species
UACAGAGGGUGCAAGCGUUGUUCGGAAUCAUUGGGCGUAAAGGGCGUGUAGGCGGUCUGUUAAGUCAUGUGUGAAAUCCCUCGGCUCAACCUCGAGACGCCGGUGGAAACCAUCUAGCUAGAGUCCGGAAGAGGAGAGUGGAAUUCCUGGUGUAGCGGUGAAAUGCGCAGAUAUCAGGAAGAACACCAAUGGCGAAAGCAGCUCUCUGGGACGGUACUGACGCUGAGACGCGAAAGCGUGGGGAGCGAACAGG